UACAGAGGAGCCAAGCGUUGUCCGGAUUUACUGGGCGUAAAGCGCACGCAGGCGGACGCGCGCGUGGGGUGUGAAAUCUGGCCGCUUAACCGCCAGGCGCCAUCCCAUACGGCGCGUCUGGAGCCAUGCAGAGGGCGGUGGAAUUGCCGGUGUAGUGGUGAAAUGCGUAGAGAUCGGAAAGAACACCAACGGCGAAGGCGGUCUGCUGGGCCGACACUGACACUGAGAGACGAAAGCUAGGGGAGCGAAUGGG
rnacentral:rRNA from 1 species